rnacentral:lncRNA from 1 species
UUCAAUAGUUGAAAAUGAAUUUAGAAAUAUCUUGUGAAUACAUUGUCACUUGUGUUUACCAUCUAGCACACAUAAAAUUUCUAGUAUGUACUAUGAUUAGAGUUUCACAAUCACAUAAUCAGUUUAUGGGAAUGAUAAUGACAGUCAUUCACCAAUGGGAUCAAAUUUGGUGACACUGAAUUUGUGACAUUAGUCAGCAGAUAUCCAAUCUGAAAGAAAAACAGAGGUAAAUUAAAAUAUCAACUGAAUUCAAUGCAAUACAGGAUAAAUACCAAGAAUAGUUCUGAACCAACUCAACUCAUAACAUACAUGUGCAGACAUUUACUAUAAGUUAUUUAGAUAUUCAAGAAAGAAACAAUGACAAAAAUUCUAAAAUUACACACUUCAAAUAUAGCUUGCGACUAGUCAACAAUUUAUCUCAUCUCAAAUCCUAAGAAAGACAAAUGAAGUGUUGAUAGUCAGAACAACUAAUAGGGGGAGUAUAGGUGGACGGUAGUUUUUUUUACAGAAUAAAGGGGUAAUUUGUUUUUACUGUGUUGCUUGUUUUAAGCAUUAGGAGAAUCCUCACUUCCUAUUCUUGACAAGUACAUUGUCUUUCUUAAUGUCAUACUAACUAAAAAACUAAGAAAAAAGAGCAACAAAGAAUGCCUCAUUGGCCAAGAAUGCCUCAUUGGCCUUUACUGGUCAUAGAUUGAGAAAUGCACACAGUAUUAAAGACAUGGCAGGAAUCAAUCAAAUAGUGCUCUGUGAUCAAUCAAAUAGUUGCACAACACAGAAGUGAGAGAUGUACCCUUCUUACAAAAAUAUAAGAAACAUUAUAGUACCAAAUAUUAACUACUACAUUCAACUUAUGACCAAAACUUGUACAUUAUUUUUUUCCUGUUAUUUUCAAAUCAGAAUCCCAAUUUCAUUUUAAUAAUUUCUGCGAUCCUUUAAUGCACACAUUUGGUAUACAAUUUAGUGAAUGUAUCUUUGUUUUUUCUCUACUUAUUUAACUAUGGUGUGAAUGAUGAUCAUAACCAAAUCUUGAAUUAAAGAAAAUUUUGUGAAUAGGAGUGAGUAGGCAGGCAUGGCACCACAAAAAGGUUCUAACAAGAAAAAAGGAAGUUUUGUCAUCCAUUUUAGGGUGUGUAGGUGAAUGAAAGAAGAUAGCAGUGGAGCAAAACUUAUUGCAACAAUAUCAGCAAUUGGGUUUAGAAAAAGAAAAAUAAAUGCUUGAACUGACUAUUAAAUGAAUGGGGAUUUUCUCAACCUGUUUAUAACUUAAUGUUACAUUUAUGAGGCAAGCAAACAGUGGUUGCAGUAACUUCCUCCACAUGGAAGGGCAAUGUGACUCCAGGAGGCUAUAGGUGGCCACAUGUUUAUUCAUAUUUUCAAAAUCAUAUGAAAUACAAUGAUGUCACACUCAAUCAAAUGCUAAAACUAUUUGUUCGAGGUGUUUGAUUCCAAUAAAGCAAUUGUAAAGAAGAAAUCAAAUUGAAAGAAGAAACUAUGAGAACAAAUAGAUGGAACCAUCAUCAACUAUAAUAAAGAAUAUAAAAAAAAUCUGAUUACCUAAUCAUGAACUUUAAUUCGUCCCAUCAAAAUGAAGCUUUGGUUUUCGUUCUCUUUUUCCAAUCUGUUUCUUUUGAACACCACUGAUUUCAAUACUUGUGUUAGAUGGAGUUCAUUAACAAAACAAUAAUGAAACAAAAUAAACAUAUACAACUAUGAUCUUAUAAUAAAUUACACUAAUAACCUUUCUUCUACUAUACUGAAAUGUAGUUUUCCUCUUAGUCUGGCUGCUCUAUUGAAAUAAAUUUCUUUUUCCUGAUUCAAAUAUCAUAAUUAAGUCAAUCAAUAUUAAAUUACUUAAAAUAAAACAAAAAGACUUAGACUUACUUCAUUUGUAAUACACUUCCAUGCUUUAAAAGCCUUUUUAUGAACCUACUUUUUAGACUUAGACUUAGACUUAGGCUUACUUCAUUUGUCUUGAAGCUAAAAAUGAAAUACCUGAUAAAAAAUGAAAAAUUAUCUAUUAAUAACAAAAUUAUCUAUGAACUUGAGAAAUUAAAGGAGAGUAACUAUUCAACAAUUUAAAUUCUAAGAAUAAAAAAAGAUCAAAACUAGAAUACAAGAUACAAUCAACAUGAUGUGAAAUAACAAUGAAGCAUUGAAGGUAGGCAAAAUGGUAGCCUCGGUAGAGGAUAAGGAAGAUAAAAAUUAGCCUCUGUUUUACUCAAUCCAAUUAAACAUUCAAUCUAUUUUUGAGAAUUAAGUAAAGUUUUGAGAUUCAUGAAAGGCGUUUUACAUUAGAUAUGUUAAUAGGCCAUGUCUUGUAACUGUGGCUUUCAAUUUGUUUUGUUGGAUAAUAAUAAUAAUUGCAGGUUUUCCUCUGGUAAUACGUAGAGAUAUAGAAAGGUGGUUAAGGAAAGGAAAAAUAAAGAAUUUGAAUAUGGUUGGAGCGUUGUUAUUUAUACGUAUUAGGUAGCUAAUAUGCAUUAGUUUAGUGGGUUGAUUAGUGUGAGUGACUUCUAAGGAUAAGAUUAAUAAAAGGAAGGGUUGUUGAUGAUAUGUGAGGAAAAACAUUGGAAUCUUUUGAAAAUUGAUUAGUUGGUCAUUAUAGUCUGGCAAAAGGCACAAGGUUAGGACCCAUGAGCUCCAGGGAGAUUUUGGGUGGCAGGGUCCUACACUCUUCUUUAUAUCUUUUGUCUUGUGGCUUCUAUUCUGAAUUAUAUGUAUCCAAUAUANNNNNNNNNNNNNNNNNNNNNNNNNNNNNNNNNNNNNNNNNNNNNNNNNNNNNNNNNNNNNNNNNNNNNNNNNNNNNNNNNNNNNNNNNNNNNNNNNNNNNNNNNNNNNNNNNNNNNNNNNNNNNNNNNNNNNNNNNNNNNNNNNNNNNNNNNNNNNNNNNNNNNNNNNNNNNNNNNNNNNNNNNNNNNNNNNNNNNNNNNNNNNNNNNNNNNNNNNNNNNNNNNNNNNNNNNNNNNNNNNNNNNNNNNNNNNNNNNNNNNNNNNNNNNNNNNNNNNNNNNNNNNNNAUACCAGCUAGCUAGGCUCAUUAUUUCACAUGCAUAACUCUCUUAUUUGCUAUGCAAUCCUUAAAUCCAACAUGUUACAUAUUCCCUUUCAUUAACAACAUUAUUUCUAGUUUUCCCACAAAGACAUCCUAAUAGUGAAAAUCAUUGAAAAGGCAGGGAAAACAUGGAAAAAGAGGUUAUACAUAGCAACUGGAACAGUGAUGUUCCGAGACAUACCUUCAGUUGUAGUCCUAAAUAGAAAUCCACAAUUAUCACUUGAGCACGAGCUGGAAAUGGAGCAGAGUUAACUACAUCGAGAAAUAAAUAAAAAGCAAAUCAACAAAAUCUCCAAUUACCACUAGAAGAAAAGAUCUAUCAAAUAAAAAUAAUUAAUAUUAUCAUAACACUGCCAAAUCAGAAUCAACACGUCUUGUACCAAAUCAAUGAGAGAAUCACUAAUUAUUAGCGUUUUAAUACUAAAAUCAAACACAAAUUAAUCAUUGAAAAUGAAACCGCAAUAAUCACCUACUAAAGAAACACUAAUCCAAGGUUGAAAUAUGAGAAAUAAAAACUGUAAUGAAACCAAUAACAAAUUGAAGCGUUUGAACAAUCGAGAAAAUCUUUACCUCCGAAAGAACGAGAAGGACAUAGAUGAAGCACGGAGAACAUAGUGAAACCUGAGGAAGAGGAACGGCGAGACUGAGAGAGUGACGAAGAGGAACGGCGAGACUGAGAGAGUGACGAAGAGGAACGGCGAGACUGGGAGAGUGACGAAGAGGAACGACGAGACUGAGAGAGUGACGAAGAGGAACGGCGAGAGUGAAGAGGAACGGCGAGAGUGACGAAAGAGACUGCGAGAGUGACAAAGAGGAAAGUGAAAAAUUGAAAGUAUAUUUUGUAUAAAUUUAAUUAAGUGUAAUAUUUAAAAACUUUACUAAAUUAAAAAAUUUAAGAGAAAAUAGUAGUUUAAAUUUACAAAUUAUAAUAUUUAUUUAUAAAAUGUUACUGUUUGUUUAGUGUAUAAUGACAUUUAUAUCAAAAUUGUUACUAAAUAAUUAAAAUUUAUAUUUAUUUUAUUUAUAGUAACAUUUAUGUAAAAAAGUGUUAUUAUAAUAAUUAAAAUUAAUAUACGGUAACAUUUUAAAUAAAUGUUACUAGAAAAAUGUUACCAUAGAUAGAAAAUGGUGUAGUGAAAACAGUGAAUACAACUGGUCCUGUCGCGACCGACCGCCGUCACCCUUUCACUGAUUUUAUCAUAGACACUCCCCUGUCGGACAAGUGGAAGGGAUUCAACAGAAAUUCGGUGAUGGGACGACCAAUCCUGAUGAGCACAUGGAUGCGAAUACCAGUUUGUAUCUAUGCUUUUCCGAAUCACUUGUCGCUAAGCAGAGGAAAUUGUGAAAUUAAUCGGAUCUUGUUAGUGAGACGCUGAAACUUCUGAACUAAGAGAAGAAGAGUCGAUUUGAAGGAUUCUACUAGCUAUAGACAAUGCAAUUGCUUUGAGAAUCAAUCACCAUGUCCUGUUACUUAACUGUUUUUUUUUUUUAUUUGAUGCGUAUGUGGUUUCGUGAUUUAAAUUUUUACUUUUGUUAUUAUUUUCUCUAUAACUUUGUUCCUCUUACAUGUUGUGAUUGUUGUUUGGUUGUACGGUGCAGGUUUUUGACUUAGAUGUGAAGCCUCAUGAGUUUGUACAGUAUGGAUCGAGUUUUCUGGAGAUGUUGGCGGGCUUUGGUGAUUCAUGUGCCAAAGAAACUCGUGAAAGAAUAAGGGUAUGGUAUGUUGGUUCGAGAACUAGAACAUGCAUUACAAUUCAUUCUUAUGAUAUAAAUGAUUGUGUGUGAUUGCUUAAGUUGUGAAGGCUCCCGUAUUUGGUUUCUUUACGUUGUGCAUACUUGAUUUAAUAAAAAGGGGAAGUUAUUAUAAUUAGAAGAGGAUUUUUAUUCUAUUUUUCCCUCCUCCAUAAAACUGAAAUAGAUGAGGUAUGAUUGCCAAGUGGUUGGUUAUGCAGUUAUUUCUUUAAUUUCUAAGUUAAAAAUGUGAUUGAUUGAUCAUAAUUGGAAUUAUAGUACGUACUGCACACAAAUAUAAAACAUACCCCAGCAUAAAACAGAUUGCGAGGAUAUGAGAGAAGAGACUCCCUCCCAUCCCUUUACAACAUGAUGUAUGAACUCUUAGAAAUGUUGAGUUGAAUUUGGGUUUUAUACGGAGAUAUACUUUUAUUGAGUUCUCUUUGCUGGCUCACAUAUAUUAAAUUGGUAUAAUAUGUUUUUCAAUGUAGUUGGCAAGUUUCACUUGCAAUACCAGAAGGCACAUAUGUGAAGCUACCGCAUUGUUUGAAGCCUGUAGAAAAGUUCACUCUUUAUUAGGUUAUUGUCUGGUUUUAGCUCUGUAUAUGAAUUGGUUAGGGUUUUUUUCUUGAGCAUAGAGUAUGUGGCUUCCAAAUGCGCACAUCCUUCAUAUAUAGAAGGAAGAUUAGGCUAGCAGUAAUCUUUGGUUCCCAAAUGAUCAUCAUUCAUAUAUAGGUCUCAGAGGAUUAGGUUAGUAAUAAUAUUUUGUGAUGUUUCAGGUUUUUCCAGAAAUCACAGUUACUCACUCAAAUAAUGAAUAUCAAUUUUUGUGCACACGAUGACCCAUUGGUGCAUGAUUAUUCUAUAAAUUUUAAUCAAAAUAUACUUCUCUAUAACAUGUGCCCCAUUUUUGUUUACAAUUGGCCUUGUCAAGGCCUUUUUAGAGUGUCACUCUGAUUAAACUUAAUUCUUUACAUAAAUGGUUGUUUCUUGUACACUCAACUUGCUAUUAAGUGUAAAUUUGGAAAAGACUACAAAGUAUUUGAUUCAGCAUGCAACUUUUCACAAAUUGUUUUCUCAAUUCUUGUUGUCCAAUUGUAAUAUGCAAUCUUUUGUGUCUGCUCUUUGCAGGGCUUUGAAAUUGAGGGAGAACUACCAGAGAAAGUUACAAGUUAUGAAGGCGUGUACUAUAAUUACUUCAUCACAUAUACUUGAAUCUGUACAUCAGUGGUGUUAUAUUGGUGCCUAAAAUGAAAAUUUCUGGAGAUGGUAUCAUGUUUAUUUUAGAUUUUUAUUGCCUUAGAUGGUAGUUGAGAUUAAUCAUUCAGAAAAAAGUUACUACUUUACAUGUGAUACUACAUGUUAGUUGUAUAUUCCAUAUGUACGAUGUAGAAACUUGAGAUGCAACAACUUUCUUAGCAUUUGGGUGUUUGAUAGAAUGGAAAAGAUUUUGAUUGCUCUAAUCUGUAUUUCUUAGCAUUCAUAGAAUAUCUUGUUAUGCUCUCUACAGGAAUGGAUUCUCAAGUGGCUUAUGGCUUCCAUCAUCUACGCGAUGAAAAACCUUACCUUGCAAGUGGUCCAAUUUCAAAUUAGGUAUUAAAGCUAUGGAGUUGUGUAACGUGUUUUAUAAAUUUCCUUCUUUCUUGCUUUAGUUUACUUAAUUUGAUGUUACAGUUUUUAAAUGGUAAUAUAUUCUUUCUUCUUUUUUUCUUUUUCGCAGCAUGAUAUUUGAGAUUAACAUAUUAGCACAUUAGCACAAUAUGUCUCCUAUAAUGGAUUGUGAUCAUUGAUAAAUCCUUUUCUUUCUGGUUGUAGAUUAUAUACUAAAGUUACAGUCACACAUAAGGCUGGUUUUUCACACCUUGCGUAAGUGAUCCAGGUUUAAGGUAAGAUAUGCCAGCUAAAGCUUUUUUAUUCACGUGAUAAAAUAGAGAUCAUUGGGCUUUUUUUUAAUUACCGUCUAAAUUAAAAAAUGAAGGUAUAAUUAAAACAUUGUUUACGCAUUUACAUUCAAAAUUAUUAAUUUUUAUAUGUUGAUGAUUAGGAAAAUGCUCUAAAAAUUAAAGAGAAUAGGACAAAGCAAAUCAUUGCUCACCCGGGUGGAUCUAAGAGCAUUGCAAGAAAAAUAGAUGAAAUGGUGAUAAUAAUACAUAUGUUCAUGUCAAAUUUAUGUUUUAAUCUCUCUUAGUGUGUGUCAUAUAAUUUUUCUUCAUUUUAAUAGGAAAAAAAGUAUGGCCACAAGGUUAGUAGAGGAGAUAUAUGGAUAGCUACACAUAAGCAUGCUAAUGGAACAUUUGUGAGUGAUGAAGCGAAGAAAAUUUGUGUAAGUUAAAUUUCUAAUAAAGUCUAUAAUUGUCAAUAACACUUAAUGUAAGUUUAAUUUAUUUCUUCUUGCGUUCUUUGUAGGAAAAAAUUCAAGCAUAUGAAUUAACUUCAUCACCAUAAAAAAUCAUAGCCGAAGAAUGUUAUUUAGUAGGAACUGUUCACUAUAUGAUAUUUCAUAGGUUUUAGUUAUUUGUUGGCAUUGUUUUGUUUGUAUGGUACAUGAAGAAGGUUAACAAGGAAGAGAAAAACUGGCACUUUACUUUCUCUUGCAUUUUGCAGAGUCACCUGAGAGAAAAAUGGGACAAAAGUCUCUUUAAGGUGGAAGCUAGUUAUAUAAAAAACUUCAAGAUUUUUUUGGAAUUGUUCUCAUUUGUUUCUUUAUUAUUAUAUUUUUCAACUUGCGUUUUUCCUAAUUUUAAAAUAAACAUGCCUUUUUUGGAACUAUAGAGAUUUUCGACUGGUUUAUAUGAUUUAAAAACAAUAGUAAUUUGUUCUAAGAUUAAAAAAUAACCAAACAUAGUACCAUUUUGUUUUCCAUUUACAAAUUUAGUUAAUUUAACUAUUUAUACCAUUUACAUCUUAUUUAAUAUCACGUCUAUUUUUGAGUUCAUUGUAAAAUGUCUACAUUUGAGGUUUAAAUAUAUAAAUAGGUAUAUUACCAGCAUUUUUCACUACGAUCUCGAAAUAUAAAUUAGAAUUUUGAUAGAUUAAGGUCAAAAAUAAAUGUUUAGUUAUUAAAAUUUAGAAAAAAAAGUCGAUUUAGUAAGAAUAUUGUAUGUUUUUUAACAAAAUACUCAUGCCAUGCUUGUUGGAGCAUUACAUUUUUUUCCACUAUAUUAUUGAGAUAUUAUCUAAGCAAUGGGAUAAGGUUUCCUUCUUACAUUGAUAUUACGUAAGUGUACAUAAGAGGUUUAUUAACAACAUGAGAGGAAAACCGUUGAGCUAUUUUGGUUAAACAUUUUUAUUAUUUGUCACCUAUUUUUUUAUAUAUAUGCACCUCUUAGAAGUAACGGAGGUUUUCAAAUUUCAAGGAAUAACAGGGGUUUUCAAACCUCCAAUAAUAACGAGGGUUAUCAAAACCGUCAGGAAUAACAUGGGGUUUCAAAACCGCCGGGAAUAAUGGGGGUUUUAAAAUUGUCGGAAAGUGAUUUUUUUUCUAGGGGUUCGUAGAAACUGUCACUAAUCAGUUACCAACAUUGGAUCUACCGGGGAAAAAGCAAACUGCAGGUAACACACUUAAUACGGGUUAAAACCGCCGAAAAUGCCAAAUAUAACCCCGUUAAAAUAAUUUUUUUUAGUGAUAUUCAAGUAAAUAAUUAUAUAAUGCAACAGAAAAUAUUAUAUCAUAAAAAAUAUAUAUAUUCUAGUACUUAUUAUAGUUAAAUAACAUUUACAUAAAUAUUAUUUUAAUUUAUUAAAAAAAAACUUGUGCAUUAUAUUGGUUCACCAACUAGUUUAUAGAAUUCCAUAAAAGGUUUAACAAAAAAAAUUGUUCACAAAUUUAGGCUAAUAUAUAAUAGUUUAGAAUAAAUAUUGUUGUUUUACUCACUUUAAAUUUUUAUCCGCAAGUUUGAUUCUUUUAUUUUAUUUGGAAAUAAAAUAAUAUCAAAAUAUCAAAAAAUGUUUUACAACUUAAUUUUAUGACUUAUAUUUUGUCUAUUUUAUUUUAGUCCAAUUGAACAGUAGACCUAACAUAUUCACCUCAUAAGGCAUUCACUUGGUUUCAUUGUACUCUUACACCAAAAAUCAAGAUAUUUCAUGAAAAAAAAAACAUUGGUAUUCAUUCCUUAUAAUUUUAUAUGCAACCUAUUGAGAUAAUAACUUUGGUACAAUUUUUUUUUCACAACAAUUCUUGCAUCUUUCUAUCUACUAUUAAGUAUUUCGCUAUUUUUAUCUUCAUUCCCCACUAAAUAUAUACUAGUAUAAUUGGUAAAAAUAAUUACUUUUUAAUAAAAGUUGUUAUGUUAUGCAUCACUAUGUAACUUCACAUCUCAACUAGGUUGAUACCUCAAGUAACAACAAUCAUUUGUCAUCAGAUGAAAAAGGUAUUAUUAAAAGAAAAAAAAAAUACAAAAAAAAUAUGGAGGGACUAGACCAAAACCCAUAUGUUAACAAAAACGAUACAUAGGUAGACUGUACAUAUUCAUAAAGAAUUCUAAGAAGUGACUAGAUGGAAACAUACUAUACCAAUGAAAUGAUUCUCUAUGAAUAAAUCCUAAAUUAGCCAACUUGUGAACACACGCAUUCCCUUCACGAAAAAUAUGAGUAACCAUAAACCUGAUUUCCCCACUGUAAUUAAGACAAGUAUUCCAUCAAUUACAACGCAUCCACGAAACAUUAGUCCUAACAGUAAAUGCAACACAAACCAAGACAGAAUCACAUUCAAGCCAUACAUUAGUAAGCCCCAUCUUUUGAGUUUCCUCCAUAACAUGUAUAACUCCAUAAAACUAAGCAACCAUAGUAGUCUGAACUUCAAGAAAUGCAGAGAAAGCACCAAUAAACUCCCUCAUAAUCCCACAUAAAAUACCUCCACAAGUAGCAAGACUAGGAUAUCCCCUACAGCCCCAUCAAUGCUAAUUUUAACCGAGCCUGAUGAAGGGAACUCCCAUCUAACAGGAAGAGGACGAAGAACUUUACUAAUACGAGUAUUAAUACCAAAAAAAUUAAUCACGUUAAAAUCCAACAUAUCAUGCUUCAUUGAAGCUUUAGACGAAUUUCCCACUAGACAAGUUAAAUCUUUAAUUAUUGAAAUAGCCCUAAAAACAACAAUCUUAUCCUGAAAUCUAGCAUAAUUCUUCAUAUGCCAUAUCAUCCAAAUACAAAAAGUUAUCACAACAAGCUUAAUCAAUUUAACCAAAGGACUAUCAUCACUCUUAAUAAAAGAAAGAAGAUCAUCCUUAUUAGAGAAAUGAGAAGAAAAAUUUGUUGAACUCAACUCCAAAUAUGCAUAGCAUUAGAACAUUCAAAAAAUAAAUGUUGAAUAGAUUCCUCAUGCUUUUCACAAAGCGUACAGAUAGAACAUAUAUGCAAACCUUUAUUUUGAAUAUGCUAAUAUGUAGGAAGUUGCCCAUGAAAAACUUUCUAGAGUGCUAAAGUUUUGGAAGACGGAAUAUAUGAAGACUUACCCCAACCACAGGGAACUCCUAGUUCCAAGAAAAAAGUCUUAGUUAAUUUAAGAGUGAAACGACCAAACUCAUCUAGAAUCCAAUUAGGAAUAUCUUGUCCUCCCUAACCAUGAUAUGAUUAAAAAAAAAUGAGGUAUCUAUUGUAAAGACAAGGGAAUAUUCCAAUCACAACCAUCCAAAACUAAGAGAUUGUAUCCGGAAUGCUAGCACCAUCAGAUAACCCUGCAAUAUUUGCAAAAGAAGUAGUAGAACACCAUUUAUCAUUCCAGAAAUUAAUAAAAGUACUUGUACCAACAAUCCAAGAAGUAUUAUAAAGUAUAAUAGAAUAAAACUACUUAAUUCCAAGCCAAAGAGAUGAGGAUCUAUAAAUCAUUCUAAACUCAUAUUUUGAUUUAAGAACCCUGGCUUUCAGGAGAAAAGACCAAGCUUUGUUACUAUAAGCAAAAAUCCAAGCAAGCUUAAGAAGACACUCAUUAUUUUCAUGAUGAAGGUUAAUAAUCUUCAAACCUCUAUUUUCAAGAGGAGAACAAAUCUUAGUCCAAUUAACUAUAGUUAUGUCUUUUUUCAGAAUAUCACCAGUCCAAAUAAAAUCACUACAAGAAAAACGCGAAUUAUAUACGGAUUAUUACAUACGGAUCAAAAUCCGUACGUAAAAUUUUACAUACGGAUAACUUUUGGCACCAUAAAUUAAUGGUAUUCGAAACCAAGUUCCUUUAGUGACCAAAGAAAAUUUAACCACUACCCCAAACAAAUUCUUUAGUAUUAUUAUGAUUUUUAUUAUACUUAUUAUUAUUAAUAAUAUUCACAAUAUUAAUAAUAUUAACAAUAUUAAUAAUAAGAACAAUAUUAAAAACAUUAAUAAUAUUAACAAUAUUAAUAAUAUUAAUAUUAAUAUUAAUAAUAUGAAUAUAAUAUUAAUAAUAUGAAUAUAAUAUUAAUAAUAUGAAUAUAAAAUUAAUAAUAUUAAUAAUAAUAUUAAACCCUAAAUCCCAAACCCUAAAUACUAAUAAUAUGAAUAAUAUUGCUGAUAAAAAAGUGAAUAAUAUUAAUAAAUAUUAAUAAUAUGAAUAAUAUUAAUAAAUAUUAAUAAUAUGAAUAAUAUUAAUAAUAUGAAUAAUAUUAAUAAUAUGAAUAUAAUAUUAAUAAAUAUUAAUAAUAUGAAUAUAAUAUUAAUAAUAUGAAUAUGAAUAUAAUAUUAAUAAUAUGAAUAUAAUUUAUAUUAUUUUAUUAUUAAUAUAACUAUUAUUAAUAAUAAUAUGUAUAAAUUAUAUUAAUAAUAAUAAGUAUAAUAAAAAUGAUAAUAUGACCAAAGAACUUGUCUAGUCUAGUGGUUAAUGCUUCUUUGGUCACUAAAAGGACUUGGGUUCGAGUCUGCCUGCUGCAGUUUACUUCCAAUAUUGAUUGAGUACACUUGCCGAGAAAAAUCAACAUUAAACGAGUAAGGUACGCUAUUUCUAAAUACUAGACUGAAAUCGAAUACUUAUCUUAUUUUCGUAAGCACAAAGCCACGUUCCAGUGCACAAGCCAUGUUCCAGUGUGUCAAAACUAAUAAUAAAUUUGAAAUUUUUUGAAUCUUAGGAAUAAGAGAUACCACAUUAUUGUGCAUUCUAGAAAAAACCCAGUUUUGUUUAAAAACACUAUUGAAAUGCAACAGAAACCAAGGUAGAAUCACAUUCAAGCCAUACAUUAGUAAGCCUCAUUUUUUGAGCUUCCUCCAUAACAUGUAUAACUCCAUAAAACUCAGCAACCAUAGUAGUCUGAACUUCAAGAAAUGCAGAGAAAGCACAAAUAAACUCCCUCAUAAUCCCACAGAAAAUACUUCCACAAGUAACAAGACCAGGAUAUCCCCUAGCAGCCUCAUCAGUGCUAAUUUUAACCUAAUUUUGUUUUUAAAAAAACUAUUUAAUAGCUUUGCAAACAUUUGUCCCAAUAAUUUUCCAACAAGAAUGAUAGAAAACACCACCAAAACCAUCAGGACCAGGAGCACUAUUACCAUUAAGAUUUAAAACAACAUUCUUGAUUUCCAAAUAAUCAGGGCAUUUAAUCAAUCAACAUCAUAUUCUCCUCAGAGGAAACCAGCUCAGGAAUAUAAAUACCAAUAAAAUCUUCCAUAUUACUUAUAUCAUAAUCAUUAGAAACAGACUGAGCGUAAAGAUUUUUAAUAAAAUUCAAGAUAUGAUCCUCGAUGAGUUGAGGAUCCUCAAUAACUUCAUUAUCAAUCUGUAGGCGAUGAAUCCCACUAGAAUUAUUUCCCCUCUUAACCACAACAUGGAAAAAAGAAUUAUUUCUAUCUGCAUCUUUAAACUAGAGCAUCCUAGCUCUUUCUUGCCAAAACAAAUAUUGAUAGUGAAAAGCAUGAUCAAGCUCCUUCUUAGCAAUAUUUUCCUGACAAAGAAGCCGAUCUAUAUCAGACAAACUAGUAGUCUCUAAAGUUUGUUGAAUACUAAGGAGGAGACCCUACUUAAAAAGCACUACAUUGUGAACAUUACCAAAAGAAUUUUUUUUCCAGACUCGGAGCUCAAUUUUCAACCUUUUUAACUUAUGUUGCAAAAUAAACAUAGAACAACCAACAACCGUAUUAGCCCAAGAAUCAUUAAUAAGCUUUAUACAUGAACUAUCCUGAAACCACAUAAAAAAGAAACAAAAAUUGUUAACCUUCCUUAAACAAGUGGUCAGAACAAUUUUUAACAAGAACUUGAUAAGUACAAGAAUCUCGUUCAUCCAAGCACACUCCAUUGCAUAAAACCCUAUCUAGUUUUUUAUGAAUUUUGUGUAAUCCUCUCUUCCCAUUACACCAAGUAUAACAAGUUCUGAUAAAAGGCAUACAAGUAAGAUCAUUAGUAUCAAUCCAAUUAAGGAAUUCAUUACAAGAAACCUAAAUAUGAGCCACCCCCCUUUGCAAUCAUCAGCCAAGAGUACAACAUUAAAAUCUCCCAAAAUACACCAAAAUUCUGUGAAGAAACUAAGAUCCUCCACAAAAUUCGUCUAACCAAGUAUUUGUUAGAACCAUAAACACCUGCAAAGCUAAAACAUUUAUCAUGCAGAAGUAGGGAUGGCAAAGCGGGGCCGGCCAUGCGGGCCGGCCCGCGGCCCGCAGGUAAAAAACGCGGGGCGGGAUGACCUUUUCAACCCGCAUUAGCCCGCAACCCGCGCGGGCCAGUUGCGGGGCGGGACGGGCUGGCCCGCAAACCCGCAAGAAAAAAAUAUUGACACUUAGUAGCAGCAGGGCAACCUAAACUGGGUCAUGCCAAUUAAAUCAAUUUCAAACAUGAUAAAGGAGCAAGACACCAUUUAGAGAAGGAGAAGUAAGCAGAGGGUAUUUUAGAAGUUACCCAUGACCAAACCAUCAAUUGAGUCAAAAGUUAUCUUAUUUUUAUUGUAUUAUUUUUAUGAAAAAUUAAUUAAUUAAUUGUCAUUGUUUUAAUAUAUGCAGAUGACGGGGAAGAUUAUAAUUAUGAAAAAAUGGAUGAAGGUUCUACUAAGGUGGCAUCCAAUGUUAUUGAAAUGGAAGAGUGUCAAUAAUGUUUAUGNNNNNNNNNNNNNNNNNNNNNNNNNNNNNNNNNNNNNNNNNNNNNNNNNNNNNNNNNNNNNNNNNNNNNNNNNNNNNNNNNNNNNNNNNNNNNNNNNNNNUGUUUUUGAAUUAAUGUUUAUGUUUAAUGUUUUGGAAUUAGGUAUUUUUAAUGUUUUGGAAGUGGAAGAAUAGUGAUAUUUGAUAUUUAUCUUAAUGUUUUGAUGUUUGACUAUAUUUGAAAAGGAAGGAAAAAAAAUUAGGUUUGAUAAUAACAAAUAUAUAGGUUUAAUUUGACAAUUUUUUAAUAACAAAAUGUAAAAAAAUAAAUAUUUAAUUUAAAAAAAAAAAGAACGCGGGCUGGCCCGCAAACCUGCGGGCCAGCUCUUAUGCGGGGCGGGUUGGGAAUUCUAGCCCGCAAUAACUUUGCGGGGCGGGCCAACCCGUCCCGCAUUUUUGCGGGCCAAGUGCGGGGCGGGCCAAUGCGGGGCGGGCUGGCCCGCUUUGCCAUCCCUAUGCAGAAGGCAAGUUACAGAAAUAAACUGAUCAUUGACCAAGAAAUUUUGGUCAAGAUUUGGAACCGACAAACACCAAAGUUUAGCAGCUUUAUUAAUGAUAGGAGACAUAGCAAACAAAUGCAGGUUAAAUGAUUUAAAAAAAUAUCUAAAGCAUCAGUGUACGACAUCAUAUGUUCAGCAAGAAAAACAAGGAGAGGUUUAUGCAGUUUAAGUAAAUUAAACAACAUCUCCACAGUUUUGUGGUUUGCCAGUCCUCUAACAUUCCAAAAAAGAAGAAAAGAACUUCAUUGCGACUUAUUGGAUAAAACUGCCCUAGAAAUUUACCUGGAUUUACUAGUCCCCUUAGGUGGUCUCCCUGGUUUUCUAGUAGUGCGAACAAUUUCCGCCCUAGUAUCACUGUCAUUCUCCUUCAUCUAACUAGGAUCUGCCCAAAAUUUGGAGACAAUCUGAUUUUCAACAGUUAUAUGUUCAAAAUUAGGCUUUGCAUUUAUAACUGGCGUGGAAUAUGAAUGGCUCCCUCCAUUUUUCUCUCACUAGAGGAUUGGGCAUGAACUUGCUCCAUGUCGCAUACUUUGAUAAGUGCCAAAUUUCAGUAAAAUUUCAUAUUAAAAUAUAGGUACUUAUGAGUAUUAAUUGCUAAAAUAAGUAUAAAAUAACCCCUAAUUUAUGAAUUUAUACAUUUUUACAUAUUUUAUGAUUUUAAUUUGAAAAAAAUGAUUUAAUUCCAAAUUUGUGUUAAUUUCAAGAUUCUAGGGAAGAAUGGAGAUAAUUGGGCAAAAGGAAAAAAUACAAAGCUAAAAAGAGAAAGUUGGAAUGCAUCAACACUCACCAAAGCUGCCCAAAUUCGUAAAAAGCCAAUAUGCCACCAGUGGAUCUCGCUCAAGUGAGUAGAAUCUCGCUUGAGAGAGAUAGAGCCAACAACGUUAGGCCUUUUUAUGUUUUACUUGCCCAAACGAGCCCAUUAGCACCCAAGCAAGAAGUCACUUAAGCCCAAGUAAAUUAGGUUAAACAGGGGGUUUGAGGCACAACCCUAGUGUGCAAUAUUGAGGGGAAAACACCAUUUAUUGACUUGCACUAGUGAAAAAUGAAGAAAAGAGCGCUCUUUAUUUAGUGCGGCUUUGCGCUUAAACGCAUUCGUAAAAAACGCGGUGGCAUUUUUGAAAUUAAUUUGAUUUACAAAUGCGGUUGUUUGUAUAGCCGCAUUUGUAAAUCAAGCGCUUUGAUUUACAAAUGCGGUUUUUACUUUUAACCGCAUUUGUAAAUGAUUUUUACCCUAAAUUUUUUUACACGCCUCACCACUUUCGUAUUCUUUCUGUUCUUUGCCUUGGGUUUGCGUUGUUCAUCCUUUUCGUUUGCCUCUCGUUUGCGUUGUUCAUCUCUUUCGUAGUAUUCAUAUAAGUUUGUAAGUAUUGAUUCGCUUUCUUCCUUUCUUCCUUUCAAUCUUCACAAUGUCUAUGUUUUUUAAUGGCAUUUGUUUCCUUGCAUUGUUGUUCGAAGGUAUUUUGUUCCAUUGGCUCUCCAUCGCUGCUCCGCCACUACUUCUGCUGCCGCCACAGCCGUCGCUGUUGCAUUCACCACCAACUUUGGUUCACGCACAAGGUUGGUGUAUGCUGUUUUAAAUUUUAAUUUUUUUUUUUUUGCAUUUUUUUGUUUUUUUUAUGUAUUAUAAUUUGUAUAUUUUAAAUUUUAUAUUAUUUAGUAUUUAUUAUAUUUUGAAUUUAUAUGUUUUUUAUGUAUUAUAAUUUGUAUUUUUCAAAAUUUAUAUUAUUUAGUAUUAGUACUUAUUAUAUUUUGAAUUUGUUCUUUUUUAUGAUUAUGUAAUUUAUAUUAAAAUUUAUAUUAUUUAGUUGUUAGUUGUUACUUUAUAUAUGUUAUUUAGUAAUAAUACGUUCUGGUAUUGAGUCCGAGGAUGUUCGACCCUCGACAAAUGCGUGAGAUAGAACACUAAUAUAAAAAUUCUAACCAUUCCAGAAUAUAUAAUGGAUCGAAAUUGGAUGAAUUUUGUUCGUAUAAGUGAGGAGUACGAAAGAGGAGUAGAAGAAUUUAUACAAUUUGCACAACGUAACGCGAUUAAUAGUGGUCAUGAUGGAGCAAAGAUCAGGUGUCCGUGCGUUAAUUGUUUGAAUGGAAGGAUACUGGAUGUUAAUAUAAUGAGGGAGCACCUGCUAUGUGAUGGGUUUCUUCGAUCUUACACAACUUGCACAUGGCAUGGUGAAUUAUUAAAUUUACCACGUGUUUUCGUAACUGAAAAAUAUGUGGGGUCCACCAUGGAUGAAGUAGUACACGAUGAUGUAGAUGAUGAUCGAUUGGAAGACAUGAUUCGGAUGUAGGAGCUGAGUCUUUUGCAAAAGCCCAUGAAUAUGGAAGUAUAUCAAGUGAUACAAAGACUCCAUUGUAUCCUAGAUCAACUAACUUCACACGGUUGUCGGCGGUGUUAAGAUUGAUGAAUUUGAAGGAAAUAAAUGGAUGGAUUGAUAAAAGCUUCACUGAAUUGCUUCAGUUGUUGAAGAAUACUCUACCUAAUCGUAAUUAUGAGGCCAAAAAGAUGUUGAACCUUGUGAUGUUCAAUGUUUUGAAGAAUCCAAAUCCUUUGAAGGAUGUUGAAGCCUCUGCUUUGCUUGAUCUUGUUGUGCUGGUUUAAGCUUUGUUCUGGGGUAGUUUAUAUGUUGUAAUCCACCCUUUGAUUAAAUCUCAAGCAAUUAGCAUCUCAAUCCUUAUGAAAGUAAAAUGUUUUUCAAACUAAGUUGAAACAACCGAUUGUUUUGUCGAAACAACCGAUUGUUUAUACUUAGGUGUUUUGAGAAAUAUUGAAAACUGUUUUUGAAUGGUUGAAACUGUUAAGUACCAAAACAACCGAUUGAUUCGAGGAAACAACCGAUUGUUUGUUUUGGGACCAUAACAGAAAAACUGUUUUCUUUAACUGGGCUUUAAAUGCUUUAACUGAAUACGCUCCAGUCAUUAAAUGCUUUGACCAAUCUUUUAAUGCAAUUUAAGAGUUUGUUAAGAUUUGAUAACAAACUACAUCUUUGAAUAUAUUAAGAAAAACAGAUUUGAGAAUAAAAGAAUCUUUUGACAAAGUUUUUCUAAAGAGUUUUUCAAAGUGCUAAGAUUGCUUAAGAGUUUGUGAUUGAUCAAGGUGUUGGAAUAGGAUUCUACUUGUAUUGAUUUCAGAUAUUCAUCUGUAACAAGUGUAAUCUUUGUAAUCUGUUGAACAAUUCGUUUAUGUGUUUUGCUGAGAUUGGUUGUGUGUUCUUGAGGUGUUCAAGAUCAACAAUCUUAGUGUUGGCCAAGGAGAAUGUGUUUCUUGAGGUGUUCAAGGUCAUUCUCUUGGUUGUUGUGUAAGUGAUCAAGGUGUGGUUGCUUAGUGGAUAUCCUCAGGGUUUCUGAGAAGACUGGAUGUAGCUCUGGUUUGGAGUGAACCAGUAUAAACAACUGUGUACAAUCUCUCUAUCUCUAACUCUUUAAAUUCAGUUUAUUUGUUGUUUCCUGGUAUAAACAACCGAUUGUUUCUACGAAACAACCGAUUGUUUUUCUGGUAUUACAGCUUUUGCUUGCUGUUUUGGCUAACUGAAUUGCUGAAUCAAUUGGUUUCUAAGAUAAAUUCAUUCUAGCUUUAAAAAGUUUGCGAAAACUCUUUUAAACAAUUCACCCCCUUCUAGUUUAAAGCCAUCUUUUCUAACAAAAGAUUCUUUGUCCAAUGGGUAUGGAGUAUAAAAAGAUACAUGCAUGUCCUAAUGAUUGUAUAUUAUACCAGAAAGAUUUUUGAAUUGUUGAAAAGUUGUCCGAGGUGUGGGUUAUCACGUUAUAAGUUGAAACAAAAAGAUGAUGAUACUAUUGAAGAUAUAGAAAAGCAUGGACCCCCAAUGAAGGUUAUGUGGUAUCUUCCCAUCAUUCCAAGGAUGAAGCGUUUGAUUCAGGACGUAACAAAACCAACUUAUCAAAUAUAGAGAAAGAUACUUGGGAUUGAAUUGCGUCUAUCUCAAUCAUUUGUAUUUUGGAAUAAUAUAAUACAUAAUACUCAAAACUACUUAUUAUUGAUGUUUAAUUUAAAGUCAUUCAUCUUGAUUCCUCACAGAUGAAAUUCAUAAGAUAAUUUCUCAAACACUGAUUCCUCAGAUAUUUAACAAAUCAUCCUGCUUUAGGAACAGAAUUAUAAUGCAAUCAAUAACCUGGAAUCUAUUCCUAGCANNNNNNNNNNNNNNNNNNNNNNNNNNNNNNNNNNNNNNNNNNNNNNNNNNNNNNNNNNNNNNNNNNNNNNNNNNNNNNNNNNNNNNNNNNNNNNNNNNNNNNNNNNNNNNNNNNNNNNNNNNNNNNNNNNNNNNNNNNNNNNNNNNNNNNNNNNNNNNNNNNNNNNNNNNNNNNNNNNNNNNNNNNNNNNNNNNNNNNNNNNNNNNNNNNNNNNNNNNNNNNNNNNNNNNNNNNNNNNNNNNNNNNNNNNNNNNNNNNNNNNNNNNNNNNNNNNNNUUAGCCACUCAUGACAACUCCUUCAAUCUUCAUUCUUGAUCUGGAUUGCAUAAGAAGGGCUGAUCUGAGCAAGUUCUUCUCCUAAGAACAGAGGUUUCUUCUCUUUCUCUCACUAGUCUCUCUCUAUAAAAACCCAAUCUUUUUCCACCGCUGGUUUUGAGUUAUGUUUCAGAAUAUAUAUAAUCAACUUUAGCUCAAGCUAGCAUGUUUUAGCUUAAGUUAGAUCUUUCGGUGCAUUUUUAGCUUGAGUUAGCGAUUCUAGCCUGAGCUAGAUCAGUACUGCACCUUUAAUCAACUUUGGACAGUUUUAGCUUGAGCUAGCAAUUCUAGCCAGGGCUAGAAUUGUACUGCACCUUUAAUCAACUCUAGACAGUUUUAGCUUGAGCUAAAUCUUCUUGUGAUCCAAUUAAGUUUUUACUUUUUUUUAUUCAAUGCCAGCUUGAAUACAUUCUUUCAAAGCUUCAUAUUCAUCUGCAAUUUACACAAAAAUUGAGAUUAAAUUUCUUCAUUUGUUUCUUGGCUCAAAAAAUAUAUAAUCAGAUUCAAUAAUUCUCAGAUUAGGGUAAUUUUCUUACAUUAAGCAACAAUUAAGUUUCAAAGUGUUCGAUUUUCUCAAUCAUAAAAACUACACAUUGGCACUUAUCAAAUUCCCCCCAACCUAGAAUCUUGCUUGUCCUCAAGCAAAGUAAUUGAAUCCCAAAAAAUAUGAGUUCAUUCUUCCCCAAAAUCCUUAGAAAUAAAAUAUAUAGUUUAAUAUCAGAACAACUUCAUGGAAAGAGCACAAGAUAAUUCAACAAAAAAUUAUGGUGUUUCCUAUCAAUUCAAACCAAGACAGGAUAAGAAUGUAUUCAAUUUCCAAGGUAAACAGUUGUUACUCUUCACUGAGAAUCAAACUAAGGAAUUUCUCUCUUCAUUCCUCACUGGUGAGUGUUUUCCCUCUUUUUUUCACUGAAUUCCAAGUUCAUUUAAGGUUGCCCUUCAUUUCCAGUUGAUUACAAACACUUUCACAAACAUAGAUCUUGAGGUCUUUUCAAGUUGUAAUGAGGCUGGGUUACAAAGAAAAUUUGGUUUCUACAGGAUAACAAAAUGCACACUUAACAAAAGAUUAGCAUAUUUGCAAUUUACUUUCUAAUUGUGUUAUCCAUUAUCCCUUCCAUAAGAUUCAUUCACAUUGCUUCUUUUUAUAUUCUUGUAAUCCCCUUUGCUUUUCUUUUUCUUUUCUUUUUUUAGAAAUAAGAAUGAGAAUUUGGAUAAUUUUGUCAUUCCCUUUUUUUUUCAUUUUCUCUUUUUCUUUUUCAUUCUUAAAAAAUCCCAACAGCCACACCAAACCCAAUUCUUUUAAUUAUAGAAAUUUGAAUUGCACCUAUGCUCUCCUUUUGUUAGCAUACCACAAGGUAGGACAAUAUAUGUAUAUCAGAAGCUAGGGUGCAAUAAAACAAAUUUGGCUCAAAAAAGGGUUAUUUUUCUGCACAUUUCAUCAUAUAUUGCAAAGGUUAGCUGUUUGGCUUUGAGUUUUCUCACCUCCAACUUUAUUAAACAUGCCUCAAUCAUCUCCAUAUUUGAUUUUGUGAUGUAAAUUGACUAGAAAAUUAGGCAACCUCAAUUAACUCUUCACUAGUGAAAGUCUCUCAAACUGUUUAAAGGUUUCACACUCUCACUUGGUUGGCUAAUUUCAAUUCCUCAUUUGUUCUCAGACAUUGCUUUCAACUAUUUUCCUUGUUCCAACAUUUACACAUUAAUAUCCUUUCUCAAAUUGAGUGAUGGUUCCAGCCACAAAUUCUUUUUCAAAUCAAUCCAUUUAGUUGUUCAAAUUUAAAACUAUUGUUUGCUUUCUUUUUUCCAAAAAAAACAUACCAUCAUCUAUCUAUAUACAAGAUUUCACUUCACAAAAUAUGCAAACAUCAACCAUUAUACUAACUUAAGCUUGUCAUCACCAAAAUCUAAAGUAAGAAAUAUUAAACUAAACUGCUAAAGUCAACUUACUAAACUAAACUACUUGAACUAAAUUAAUAUUGAAAUUAAAGUUAAACAAAAAAGAUAAAACCAGUUUUAUGUUCAUUGUUCAUGAGAAGUAUCAAUCUCCUCUUAUGACUUUGUUCCGCUCUGUGCUAACAUCAUCAUUCUAAACUUGGUUUGAAUGUUCAUCAUCUGUUGCUGCUCCAGUUAGUCCAGCUGCCUUUUCUGGUGUAUCUUCAACUCUAGUCCCAACUCCAAAUGCUCAUGCCUCCCCUGAAAAAUUGUGCCUGCCCCCAGGCCUAGAUAGAUAAUCAUGAAAUUCAAUGGGUGUCAACGAUGGAUUAUUUCAUACCAGAUGUGGAUUUUGUGUGACUCAUUUUUCUGCACAAGUAAGAAUAAACAUUUCUCAAACCAAAGUGUUUUAUUUGAUUGGCAUUUCAACAAACACUUGAUAUGCAAUGUAUAAAAUGAAAUUGAAUGAGUACUUGUUGUUUUGGUAUUUUAUCCAUGGAAACCGUACUUAUCCUAUUCCACAAUCCUAUUUAACAUCAAGACAUUGAAAUUUCAAAAAGAUUGAAUCUUUUAAAAACAUCGAAAUUGUGAAAUGGAACCAACAGAAACACGCAUGUCUGGACUGUGAAAUCGAACCAACAGAAACCAGCAGAAAUCCCAGCAACCAGAUUGAAUGAAAAUGGCAAUAAAAAUGAUUAAGGAAAAGAUUAAUUACUUACCUUGACAAUGGCAAUGUAGAUGAAAUGUUUGUUUGAGAAUGGUUAUGUAGAUGGAAGCUUUGGGAUUUUUUUUUAGAACAGAGGGCACUUCUGAAACUGUAUUAGGGUGCAGGUUUUUUAAAAUGCGAUUUUUAUAAAAUGCUACAGAUUUUAUUUAUUUAUUUAUUUAGAAAACCCACUAGCUUAGGCUAGAUCUUCUUAGCUCAGGCUAAAAUUUGGCAGAGAGCAACAGAGUUUUCUAGCUCAAGCUAGUUCGUUUUAGCUUAAGCUAAAGUUUGGCAGAGAGUAACAAAGUUUUCUAGCUCAAGCUAGCUCUUUUUAGCUUAAGCUAAAUUUUGGCAGAGAGCAACAUAUUUGCUCUAGCUCAAGCUAGCUCAUUUUAGCUUAGGCUAAAGUUUGACAGAGAGCAACAAAUUUGCUCUAGCUCAAGCUAGCUCAUUUUAGCUUAGGCUAAAGUUUGGCAGAGAGCAACAAAGUUUUCUAGCUCAAGCUAGCUCUUUUUAGCUUAAGCUAAAUUUUGGCAGAGAGCAACAGAUUUGCUCUACCUCAAGCUAGCUCAUUUUAGCAUAGGCUAAAGUUGCAGAACAAAAUUUCUUUAUUUUUCUGCAUAUCUAGCUUAAGCUAAAGAUUUUAGCUUAAGCUAAAUUUUGCCUGCAAUGAAAUUUUCUUGAAAAUUUUCAUUUUGUCUUUGCCAAAAGUUUCAAACCUUUCUAAGCUUUCUUCCAUCCAUUCAUUUCACCAAACAUUUCAAACCUACAUGACCAUUUCACAUAUCAAACUGGUUUUAAAAACAUCAAAUGUUAAAAUUAAUCAAAACAAAAUUAAAGACACAUUUCAAAACAAAACACUGGGUUGCCUCCCAACAAGCGCUCGUUUAACGUCAUAUAGCUUGACGCCUGAUUUACUUAAGGAUCAUUGAAGUGGAUCAUAGUGGUGUGCCUUUCAACUUCACCACAAAAAUAAUGCUUCAAUCUUUGUCCAUUAACCACCCAACUUCUUUUUGAGACAGGAUCUUCCAAUUCCACUGCUCCAUAUGGUUUUACUUGUUUGACUUGGAAUGGUCCUGACCAUUUUGAUUUGAGUUUUCCAGGGAAAAGCCUCAACCUGGAAUUAAAUAACAACACCAAUUGACCUGGUUCAAAAGUUCUUUUCAAAAAUUUUCUGUCAUGAUAAAAUUUGACUCGAUCUUUAUAAAGUUUUGAAGAUUGGUAAGCAUUGAAUCUCAUUUCUUCAAGUUCAUGAAGUUGCACUUUUCUCUUCUCUCCAGCAACUUUAGGAUCAAAGUUUAGAAACUUAAUUGCCCAGUAUGCUUUAUGUUCCAGUUCUACCGGAAGAUGACAUGCUUUACCAUAAAUCAAUUGGAAUGGAGACAGAGAUGUAGGUGUCUUAAAUCCUGUUCUAUAAGCCCAGAGAGCUUCCUCAAGCUUGUUAGACCAAUUCUUUCUGGAAGAAGAUACUGUUUUUUCCCAAAUCUUCUUAAUUUCCCGGUUAGAAACCUCUGCUUGACCAUUAGUUUGAGGAUGGUAGGUUGUUGCUACUUUAUGUCUAACUCCAUAAUGUUCUAAAACCUUUUGAAGUUAAGCAUUACAAAAAUGUGAACCUCCAUCACUUAUCAAAACUCUAGGAGUACCAAACCUGGUGAAAAUAUUUCUGUUGAGAAAUUUGAUUACAGUUUUGGCAGCAGCUUUCAGAGUUGCAGCUGCUUCCACCCAUCUAGAGACAUACUCAACUGCUAGUAAGAUAUAUUCAUUUGAGAAUGAUGAUGGCAGUGGUCCUAUAAAAUCAAUUCCCCAGCAAUCAAAUAUUUCAAUUUCUUGAAUGUUCUGCAAUGGCAUUUCAUGCCUUCUUGUAACAGCUCCAGUUCUUUGACAACUAUCACACUUUUGAACAUGUUCAUGUGCAUCUUUGAACAGAGUUGGCCAAUAAAAUCCAGAUUGUAACACUUUAGCUGCUGUCCUUUGUCCAUUGAAAUGACCUCCAUAUGGUGAAUUGUGACAAUGCCAUAGAAUAUUUUUAGCUUCAUUUCUUGUAACACAUCGCCUUAUCAAAUUAUCUGCACCAAUUUUGAAUAGAUAAGGAUCAUCCCAUACAUAGUGAUUAACAUCUUUGAAAAACUUUUUCUUUUGAUGCCAUCCAAAAUCUUCAGGAACUACCGCUGCAGCUUUAAAAUUUGCCAAAUCUACAAACCAUGGCCUUUCUUGAAUUGCAAGGAGUUUUUUGUCAGGAAACUCAUCUAUCACUUCUGAUUCAAGUGCAGUUACUUCUUCAUUUGCAAUUCUGGAUAGGUGAUCUGCCACAUUGUUUUCAUUGCCCUUUUUAUCCUUUAUUUCUAAAUCAAAUUCCUGCAGCAGAAGAAUCCAUCUUAUUAGUCUUGGCUUGGAAUAUGAUUUUGUCAACAAGUACCUAAUUGCAACAUGGUUAGUAAGAACAAUCACUUUAGAACCAAUAAGGUAAGAUCUAAAUUUUUCAAGUGCAUACACUAUAGCAAGCAAUUCUUUUUCAAUAGUUGUAUAAUUACUUNNNNNNNNNNNNNNNNNNNNNNNNNNNNNNNNNNNNNNNNNNNNNNNNNNNNNNNNNNNNNNNNNNNNNNNNNNNNNNNNNNNNNNNNNNNNNNNNNNNNNNNNNNNNNNNNNNNNNNNNNNNNNNNNNNNNNNNNNNNNNNNNNNNNNNNNNNNNNNNNNNNNNNNNNNNNNNNNNNCAUGUGGAUAUUGAUUGAUCUAUCAGCCAACUGUAAAGUCAUUCUGUUUUGAUUGAUCUAUCAGCCAACUGUAAAGGCAUCAAAUUAAUCCUAGCUCCAAGAUCCAAUAAUGCCUUUCCAACAGUAAGAUUUCCUAUGGUAACUGGCAAAGUGAAACUCCCAGGAUCUCUGGAUUUCUGUAGUAAUAAUUUUUGGAUUAUAGCACUUCAUCCAGCUUCCAAUUCAACUAUUUCCUGGUCAUUGAACUUUCUUUUCUUUGUCAAUAAUUCCUUCAUGAAUUUAACAUAUGUAGGCAUCUGCUCUAAAGCUUCAGUAAAAGGAAUGUUAAUUUGCAGUCUUUUGAGAAUAUCCAUGAAUCUUGCAAAUUGUCUUUCUUUGUCUUUCUUUGUAGGAGUAUGUGGAUAAGGUACAUCUUUGAUAGGAACAGUCCUCUCUUGUUUCUCACUUUUUUCAUUUUUUUCUAUUUUCUCUCCAAUAUCUAUAACAUAUUCCUUAUUCCUUCCUUCUCCUCCCUCACACUCAAUUUGUUCUUUUUCACUCUAUAUCUUUUAAAACCUCCUCCUUAACAACUAAAUUAUCUCCAAUUCCUUUUCCUAUAACUUUCCCACUUCUAGUGGUGAUAGACUUGCAAUGCUCUUUGGGAUUGGUUUGUGUAUUUGCUGAAAAUUGACUUCCUUGAUUAUCAGCUAACUGUUUAGCCAGUUGCCACACCUGUGUCUCUAAAUUUCUUAUUGAUGCUUCAGUAUUUUUCUUAUUAGAUAGAGAGGCUUGCAUGAAUUUCUCAAAAGUAUCCUCCAAUUUGGAUGUUCUCUCAUGAACGGAAGGAUAAUGUGGUUGCUGCUGAUAAGAAGCUUGUCUGUUAGAUGAUCCAGCCUCUUGCUUCCACCCAAAUCCUUGAUUUGGAUUAUUCCUCCAUCCUUGAGUCAUGUUAUUUGGAUAAUUAUAUGCAAAGCCACCUUGUCUUCCUUGAUUAUUCAUAUAUUGAACCUCUUCCUCUGAUGGAUUUUGGUAAGAGCAUUGGCCAUUAAGAUGAUCUCCUCCACAAAAAUCACACUUCAAAGCUUGAUUUUGCAUUGAAGGAGAAUUUACUGCAUGUAAUUGUUGAGGCAAUUUUGACAUUUGCUUGGUUAAUGCCUCAAUUUGCUGAGUCAAAAUCUUGUUUUGUGCUAAAAUUGCAUCUGAAGUACUAAGAUCCAACACCCCUUUCUUUUGCACUGUAUAUCUAUCAUGUUGAGCUUGGUAAUCUGUUGAUCAAGAAAACUUCUUUUCACUGUUUUGACCUUUUUCAUAGCAUUGAUACAGCUUCAAUGACUGCCUUUUUCUUCAACAGCUUGAUCAGAUGGCUCAGUUCUUCUUUUUCUCUUCAUUUUUCCUGCAUAAACAAAUUCAAGUUGCAAGAUUUGGUCCCCUUACAAAUUUGGGUCCUUUUUGCUUUUCUUUGCUGUUAGAAACAUCACAUCCCUUAGGAAUCCAUUUCAUAAGACCUUUAGGAACACAAUAUUUUAUAAUUUUACAGAAUCUAACAGAGUGGCCUUUCUUCAUGUAGUAAAAGCAUGUACAACCGGUUGUUUCGUCUUAACAAUCGGUUGUUUUUCUGAUUUUCUUAAAAAACUUUUUGAAAACCUAUCUUGCUUAUUCUGUGGAUUGAAGCCUAAACCAGCCUUUCCAAAAACACAGCUUUGAGAUGCCAAGACAUUCUCAAAGUUUGAUUUCCCUUUUGAAAGCUUGUCCACAGUUUCAACA